rnacentral:misc_RNA from 1 species
UUAAGUUCAGCGGGUAUCCCUACCUGAUCCGAGGUCAACCCAAUGUUUAUCUUUCAUGGAGGUCCAUGGGAGCCAGGCCAGAACCGAGCGAGAGACUGGUUUUUGCUUUCAAAACAAUUAAUAAGUCUAUCGCAGAGGUUGAUUGUCCUGCCUAUUCAUUUCAGCAGAGUGACCAAGGCAUACAUAGUAGCCUCGCUUCA